rnacentral:lncRNA from 1 species
CCUUGAAAGGCCCUGCAAGGAGACUCAGAAGUCAACUCUAAGUCAGAGAGAAAACUGCUGGAGGAUUUUGAACAGAGAAGUAAUUUUAAUUUUUUGGCAUUUUAAUGGGGUCACUCUGCCUGCUGGGUUGAGCAUAGACUGUAUUUAAGGUAAGGGUUACAUCACAGAGGCCAGUUAGGAAACUAUCACUCUAAGCCAGAUUGAAAGUUCAAGGUAGGUUGGACCAGAUGGGGACAGGAGCUGGUGAGAGAUGGUUCAUUUGUGGACACUGCUGAAGGAAGAGGCAAAGCAAUGUGUCUGGAAAUGAGAUUUGGAGGAAAACAGAAUGAAUCCUACACAUGUGUACAAACCCGCAAAUGAGGGGAAAGCACAGGGAGCUUGUGUCAAAUUCUCCAGCAAAGAUGUGCACAGUUAGAAUUGAAAAGCAACGGGAUAAACAAGGAAAGUGCAAAGAGGAUCAUGUGUUGUUCUUGUGUAUAAAAGAUUCCUUGAAGCAUCUUGGAUUAAGUCGUGCGCAAGAUGGCUGAAUAGGAACAGCUCCGGUCUGCAGCUCCCAGCAAGAUCAACACAGAAGGAAGCCACUGAAAUGAUGAAUAGAUGAGGAAUUGGAAAUUAUCUACCUUUCACAGUAAUAAGAGGAGAAGAAAAACUUUCUACAAAAUCCAGUACUUUGCUUCUUCCCCUGCUAAAGUGCUAACAAGAGAUACAAAGACACCAUCGUAGGUCAGUAUGGGUGGCUCCUCUAGCCCUCCUACCCACAAAGGUAUGCCAUGCUCAAAUUUAGGAGACAGAAAUAAACUUUAUGGCCUUUAUUGUUUCACACAUAAGUGUGGAAAUAUUUCUUAACAUAAAGCCAAAUUAUAUAUAUAUAACAAAGCAAAUACUAAUUCCUCUGCCUUUGCUGAGUCAUUCACUUAGCACCAUACCAGGCCUAUAGAAUGGACUUAAGACAAAAUUACUGAUUCACAAGUAAGAAGAUACACAAGAAUAUGACCUAGAAAAAUGUGGAGCUUAAUAAACAAUAAACUUUAGAGAUGAUUGUAGUGAUCUAAUUUUCUUAAUAGAAUCUUCAUUUAUGUCUUUGAGA